UACGUAGGGUGCGAGCGUUAAUCGGAAUUACUGGGCGUAAAGUGUGCGCAGGUGGCCGCGCAAGUCGAGUGUGAAAUCCCCGAGCUUAACUUGGGAAUUGCGCUCGAAACUACGUGGCUCGAGUGUGGCAGAGGAAGGUGGAAUUCCACGUGUAGCGGUGAAAUGCGUAGAUAUCUGGAGGAAUACCGGUGGCGAAGGCGGCAUCCUGGACCGAGAUUGACACUGAGGAGCGAAAGCCAGGGGAGCAAACGGG
rnacentral:rRNA from 1 species